UUGCAUUAGAGUUUGAUCCUGGCUCAGAAUCAACGCUGGCGGCGUGCCUCAGACAUGCAAGUCGAACGCGAAAGUUCCCUUCGGGGGACAAGUAGAGUGGCGCACGGGUGAGUAACACGUAGGUAAUCUACCUUCGGGUGGGGAAUAACAACCGGAAACGGUUGCUAAUACCGCAUAAUGCAGCGGCACCUAAUGGUGACAGUUGUUAAAGCGGGGGAUCGUAAGACCUCGCGCCUGAAGAGGAGCCUGCGGCGGAUUAGCUAGUUGGCAGGGUAACGGCCUACCAAGGCGACGAUCCGUAGCCGGCCUGAGAGGGCGGUCGGCCACACUGACACUGACAUACGGGUCAGACUCCUACGGGAGGCAGCAGUCGGGAAUUUUGGGCAAUGGGCGAAAGCCUGACCCAGCAACGCCGCGUGAAGGAUGAAAU
rnacentral:rRNA from 1 species